rnacentral:rRNA from 1 species
AUUGAACGCUGGCGGCAUGCCUUACACAUGCAAGUCGAACGGCAGCACGGGAUCAAUCCUGGUGGCGAGUGGCGAACGGGUGAGUAAAGUAUCGGAACGUGCCCAGUCGUGGGGGAUAACGUAGCGAAAGUUACGCUAAUACCGCAUGCGAUCUAUGGAUGAAAGCGGGGGAUCGCAAGACCUCGCGCGAUUGGAACGGCCGAUAUCAGAUUAGGUAGUUGGUGGGGUAAAGGCUCACCAAGCCGACGAUCUGUAGCUGGUCUGAGAGGACGACCAGCCACACUGGGACUGAGACACGGCCCAGACUCCUACGGGAGGCAGCAGUGGGGAAUUUUGGACAAUGGGCGAAAGCCUGAUCCAGCCAUGCCGCGUGCAGGAUGAAGGCCUUCGGGUUGUAAACUGCUUUUGUACGGAACGAAAAGGUUUGGCCUAAUAAGCUGAGCUCAUGACGGUACCGUAAGAAUAAGCACCGGCUAACUACGUGCCAGCCGCCGCGGUAACAC